rnacentral:rRNA from 1 species
UCGAGAAUCUUCGGCAAUGGGCGCAAGCCUGACCGAGCGAUGCCGCGUGCGGGAUGAAGGCCUUCGGGUUGUAAACCGCUGUCAGAGGGGAUGAAAUACGUCGGGGGUUCUCCCCCGGGUUUGACAUAUCCUCAGAGGAAGGACGGGCUAAGUUCGUGCCAGCAGCCGCGGUAAGACGAACCGUCCAAACGUUAUUCGGAAUUACUGGGCUUAAAGGGUGCGUAGGCGGCCUGACAAGUUGGGUGUGAAAUACCUCGGCUCAACCGAGGAAUGGCGCUCAAAACUGCCAGGCUUGAGGGAGAUAGAGGUGAGCGGAACUUAAGGUGGAGCGGUGAAAUGCGUUGAUAUCUUAAGGAACACCCGUGGCGAAAGCGGCUCACUGGAUCUUUUCUGACGCUGAUGCACGAAAGCUAGGGGAGCAAACGGGAUUAGAUACCCCCGUAGUCC